rnacentral:rRNA from 1 species
GCCUACGGGGGGCAGCAGUGAGGAAUAUUGGUCAAUGGACGAGAGUCUGAACCAGCCAAGUAGCGUGAAGGAUGACUGCCCUAUGGGUUGUAAACUUCUUUUAUAUGGGAAUAAAAUGUUCCACGUGUGGGAUUUUGUAUGUACCAUAUGAAUAAGGAUCGGCUAACUCCGUGCCAGCAGCCGCGGUAAUACGGAGGAUCCGAGCGUUAUCCGGAUUUAUUGGGUUUAAAGGGAGAGUAGGUGGAUUGUUAAGCCAGUUGUGAAAGUUUGCG